UACGGGGGGGGCUAGCGUUGCUCGGAAUCACUGGGCGUAAAGCGCACGUAGGCGGACUCUUAAGUCGGUGGUGAAAUCCUGGAGCUCAACUCCAGAACUGCCUUCGAUACUGGGAGUCUUGAGUUCGGGAGAGGUGAGUGGAACUGCGAGUGUAGAGGUGAAAUUCGUAGAUAUUCGCAAGAACACCAGUGGCGAAGGCGGCUCACUGGCCCGAUACUGACGCUGAGGUGCGAAAGCGUGGGGAGCAAACAGG
rnacentral:rRNA from 1 species